UCCUCCUUUGAGCUACCUCUAGUCCUAGAACGAAUCUCUAUUCUAGCCUGUAUUAGGAAUAUUACACAAUUACUCACAGGUACUUUGACCCUCACUAAGUUCUUUCUUUAGAGAAAGAAUUCCUUUACUACUCACUGCAUUCCUGACCCUUAGCACAGCUCUCAGAUAUCAGUGUUUCUUGGUAUUGAAUUGAAUUAAAAUACUGGUGCUGUCUGAGAAAAUGGGCUUCCUGAUGAUGAACAGCAACUGCAUGGUUAAAAGAUCCUCUUUGUCAGGAAGGAUGUCCGCAGAAGGGAGCUCAGUGUAUUCAACGUUCUAAACUUUUCAACGAUCCACCAGCAUCCACUCAGAUGAGACAAAGCCUGUUCCACCAGAGUGGGCCUUUCUUUUUCAUCUGCUCCCUUCUCUUUGCUUUGCCACUUACUCUCUUUUAUGUGAAAUGAAACAAUAUCUUAAAUACACUUCAGAGCAUUUUUUUCCUGGACAAUUGAGUUCAAUAUUGCAGUGUUUAUGUUCUGGCUUUUUGUUGAGUAUUUAAAUCCAGGUGUUUACAAUAUGGGGUUCUUCUGCAAUUUUUGUUUUUUUCCAAGUAGAUUUUCUGAAGCAGCUGGUGGCACGUAUGUAAACAAAGUCAAAAUAUUUUUUAAAUUUCCUAGGGUUUUGCAUCUACUGGACCUAGUGACAGAAGAUGUUUAUUUUACAGUUGGCUGUGAAUGAUGUCAUUGAGAUCGCAUUGCCUGGGAAACUAUAAAACAACUGAAACAGGAUUUGUAAAAGUACAUUAACUAUGGGGUAUAUUGAUGGUUUAAUUAUGGGUGUGGUGGUUCAAUGAACCUGAAAAGAGACAUAUCUGGAUAUUAAUAUAGAGGGUACAUUUAAUUGAGUGCCUCUCACAAAUUAGAUAAAAAGUUCAAACAUAAAAACUGUGUAUUUUAUGGAUUAAGGAAAGCAGAAACAUUUGGGGGUAGACUGUAAAUUGGUAAAUUAUUUGGGCAUAACCUAUCUAGUAUAUUCUCUAACUAAUUGUUCUCAAUACCUUGUCAUCAUAACUGAUUUUCUUAAACUAUAAUAGUCAGCUCAUCUGCUUAGAGAGAAUUUUUGGCGUAGUGCAAAGAUGGGUAACACGGGAAGACACAGGAAAAGGAUGUGUGGAGAAGGUUGUGGUCAUAAGGGGAACUUCCUGAAUGCCAUCUAUGCUCAACAUACCCAUUAACUCAACUCUGUGCCAUGCUGGACACAGUGCUGGACACGGACGGACAGUGAAGAUUGAAACAGACAUGAGUCCUGACUGUGAGUGUCUAGAUUUGUAUUAAGCAAUAUACAAUUCUAUGCAAAAUUCCACCUGAGAAAAACUUUGUGAAGAAGAGUCAUCUGAUGAGGCAGGAGGAGUUGAUGUAAUCUGGAUACCUGGGUGAGGGAAUCAGAGAAAGAGAACAACAUGUACAAAGAGCAAGCUUAAAGGUUAGGGUUAGACUGAGGGGGUGUUCCUUGAAGACAGUGUCAGGGACCAGAAGAACUGAGGUCUUUCUGUGAAAAAUCAUGGUAAGCCUUGCAUUUUAGCAACAGAAUAAGCAGAUUAGAUCUGGUCAAGUCCAUCUGGCUGCCAGGGGCAGGGGAUAUUAGAGAAAAGAAGGCAAGAGAAUUCUCUCCUCCAGUCCUUGUUUUUUAUCAAUGUCUUUCAUCUGAACCCAGAGUCCAAAUGUAAUGGACAGGGAAAGGGAUACUAUAAAACACCAUAUAUAGUAUUAAUUUUUCAACAUGUUUCCUAAAGACCUAGAAAUGAUCCAUAAUGGUGUGUCAGUAGUGAAACAUAUCCACAUCCACAGUCUUAAAGCAACUCCAGGGACAGCAGAGCCAGGACUUUGUAAGAUCACACAGCUGACUGGUAGAAUGACUCCAUCCUAUAGGAUGAGGUAUCUACAUAAGAAAACAAAAACCCAAACUCUGGGCAUUCCUUAGUUAGCCUUGGGAAGUCUGGCAGCAAUGUACAAGGAUAGGCCAGUCAGGUUCAAAAGGCAUUUGUAUGUGUCAAGGAAUGUAUAGAAAUGAAAGCCAGCUGACUUUGUGUUCUGAAUGAGGUAGUACAUUCUGCGGAACUACAUAUUUGUGCUUCUCGCGAAUCACAGGCACCUGAGUGGGAGAAACACAGAAGUCAUUUCCUAAUUGAAAACAGUUUGAGAAUCUAAACCUGGAGUUGAUCCACUCCCACCCUCACUAAUGAGCUACUUGGAUCUUUCCCAACAUACAGAAUAAAGAAUGGCUGUAAGAGAAACUUCUGCUGGAUUAAAUGUCAACCAUCAGGCUGUGCAGGAAGGAUACAAUUCAUUUCUUAUCCUGGAUGGCACAGAAGUCUUUCUGGGAUAAAUUACUAAUGAUGCUGAUAAUUUCAACAUAAAUCUUACUAUGUAUGAUGGAGCUUUGGGACAUUUUAGUUUAAUACCUACAAAAUAAUUUCCAGAUUUAUCAUUUGCGUCAUUCAGCCCGCAUUUCUCCUACACCACAUCAAAAGCCAAAUUCUAUGCUGGUUCUGAGACAAAAAGAAAAAUGACACACAGAUUUUGCCCUUAAGGAAUUUCUAACUAAUGAUAUAGACAGAUUGAUAAACAAGUAGGAAAUCUGAUAGAAGACUCUGGGUGGUUUUGAGUAGAAUGAGGUAUAAGAAAUGGAACUGUACAUUCAAUGAGAACCUGGUAGAUUUCCAUAGUCUUCUGUUCUUUCAUCUACUUUAGGUUGGUGACUCUGUUUCAGAUGGCUACUCUUGCAUUUCAUCAAUACUUUGCUUCUAGUCAGAUCAAGGUAAAUUCCAUUUUCUUUUGAUGAUUUUCAAGUAGUUAUUCAUUUGCAAUGAAAUUUUAUAUUAUGUAUUAAAGACACUAGCAUUCCAUUUGUCUUUUCUAGGACCUGUGUGUACAGGGUACAGUGAUGAAUAAAAGAUAAAACUUAUGGGCAUACAAUUACAUAAGCAGUUAAAAUAGAAGGUAGGGAUUAAGUCUUUAAUUACUGGCCAGCCAGAAAUUUUAAAGCCCAUAAAUUAUAAGAAGGGUGCUUUAAAUUUACUUUCCAUUGACAUGAUUUCACUUCCUUUUCAAAUAAGGCAAACCAUCCUUGGAGUUGUGGGUGGAGGGAAGAAGAUGAGAAAGGUUGGAGAAAAAGUGGUGUCAUAUCUUGGGUUUUCCUAUAAGAUUGGUAGGUAAGCUCUCCUUACCUUACUUUAGGCUACUAUGCUUUGACCUGACUAGCAGCCAAGUCUUAAUGAAAUGCAAUUUGAUAGAAAAUGGAAUGGUAACUUUCAAUUAUUCCUUGUAAAUAAAUAUGAAAUGUGAAUAUCAUUGACGUAGAAGAAUCAGCACCCCUAUACAGACAGCCCUCUGUAUCCCUUAGUUCUACAUCCAUGGAUUCAACUAAUCACAGAUCCAACUUCAUGUGCCAUUUUAUAUAAGGGACUUGAGCACCCAUGGACUUUGGUAUCCAAAGGAGUCCUGAAACCAAUCCCUGUGGAUACAAAGGGAUGACAGUGUGUGUGUGUGUGUACCCAUGCAUGCAGGUUUUAUGUUUAAUUUAAUUACUGCUUCAACUCUCUUGGCCUCUUUUUUAAGGCAAUCACUCUAUUACCCACAUAAUUCCCCAAAUAUAUAGCAACCCUUUAGUCUAUUGUGUUAUUUCCUACAUUUUGAAUACUGGGUGAUGCAAGAGUAAAUGGCAUUUGCCAUAUAGUGUUGAUAUAUUAUGGUUAUCAGUCUCAUCUGGAACCUCAACACCAUUUGUCAAUCGUGUGUCCUCUGGCGGUGACAAGUCCCUCUUAACGCUAUUAUUUACCAUGAGUCUUAAAUAUCCUGCCAAAUCCUCUCCUCUCAUUCUAAGCCAACAUACUCCCUAAAUAAGUAAAUGGAGCAUAUCAGGUGGCAGCCAUUCAUCUUAUGGUAGUUCUCUCUCUGAAGCAGUCUCCUCCUCAAUUUCAGCUCAUUUUCUUAAGAAGAUUUUCUUCCUCUUUCUGAUCCUGAAGGUUGUGGUGCACACAGUUCUGUUCUCCUUUCUUCUCUUUCUUCUCAAUUGUUACUGGCUGGCUUCCCUUGGAAGCCAACACUGAGAUGGAAAUGAGUAUGCAGGGCCUUCCUUUGGGUAUGAUCUUGGAUUCAAUACCUGUGGAUGGGAAGGAAGCAAAAAUGGGCACAGAGGACUUUUAAACCCGCCCCUAAAUUGGAGUGGGAGGGUCAGGCUUUUACAUCUUCUGGUCAGUCUGUCAUCAGAGCUGAUGCCAGCUCUCUUGGGAAGAGACCACGAUCUCGGGAGAGGCAGGUGUCUCCAUUGGAGGAGAUCUCUAAAAGGGGCUGCAGCAGAGGGUGCCAGCACCGCUCCAGAAGUUGGAUCAUAAGACUUUUAUUCAUGAAGAAGGAUCUGAACCAUGUGUCACAUUAUUGCGUCCACCACAGAUUGCCAUCCCUGGACACAAACACACACGCAAACACACACACACCCCUUGUGACUUAACCUCCUAUCUCCAAUUCAAGUUUAAUCUAUUCUACCAUACUUACAUCCUCUUGAACCCUGAAGAUGAAACAUACAAGAUUGCAGAACUGAUUUUCCUGGUCCUCCCUUCUUAGGGAAGCUUCAUCCAUGACAAUGAACCCGACGUUCAGGGAGAAGCAGUCUGAAGGAGUGGUCUGACAACAUUUGAGUUCUGCUAUUCCAGAUGUUCCUCAAGACCAGCUCCCCUCUCAUGGUGACAAGACAUUUCCCCUGGGUUUCUUUCUUCUCUUUGCCUAAUUCAAGUAGAGGUUCUGAUGCUUGGAAUGCAAGGACUAAUACAGAUUAUGACCAAAGGCUAAACAAAGCCAGCUCCCGGUAGGUCAUUGUGUCCUUCAGGUUAGGUAGCACCUGCCCUCAAAUUUGUCUUUGUUUUUGUUUUGUCUGGCUGACUCAUGCCAAUAUGAUUAAGCCCUACCGCAUUUUACCUACCCCUAUGCUUGCUUUCUUCUUUUAUUUUACUUUAAUAUGCAGGGUUUAAACAGGGAAGCAUCUGCAAUUUCCUGCAGGUGACAGGAUGAUUCAUUUCCUAGAAAUGUUUAUACCACUUUUAUCAUAAAGUAAGAAAU
rnacentral:lncRNA from 1 species